rnacentral:rRNA from 1 species
AGACAGAGGGUGCAACCGUUGUUCGGAAUUACUGGGCGUAAAGCGAGUGUAGGCGGUUUGCUUAGUCGGAUGUGAAAGCCCCGGGCUCAACCCGGGAAGUGCAUUCGAAACUGGCAGGCUAGAGUAUCGGAGAGGUUGGUGGAAUUCUCGGUGUAGAGGUGAAAUUCGUAGAUAUCGAGAGGAACACCGGUGGCGAAGGCGGCCAACUGGACGAAUACUGACGCUGAGACUCGAAAGCGUGGGGAGCAAACAGGAUUAGAUACCCUGGUAGUCCACGCCGUAAACUAUGGGUGCUAGGUGCUGCGGGCUUUGACUCCUGCGGUGCCGUAGCUAACGCAUUAAGCACCCCGCCUGGGGAGUACGGCCGCAAGGCUAAA